rnacentral:tRNA from 2 species
GCCCGGUUAUUUCAAUGGUAGAAUGUCAGGCUUUUAACCUGAAAGUUAUGGGUUCGACCCCCAUAUCGGGCG